rnacentral:rRNA from 1 species
GCACAAGCAGCGGAGCGUGUGGUUUAAUUCGAUGCAACGCGAAGAACCUUACCAGGGCUUGACAUGCUUGAAGUAGAAACUCGAAAGAGGGACGACCUGUAUCCAAUCAGGAGCUUGCACAGGUGCUGCAUGGCUGUCGUCAGCUCGUGCCGUGAGGUGUUAGGUUAAGUCCUGCAACGAGCGCAACCCUCGUCGCUAGUUAAUUUUUCUAGCGAUACUGCCCGUAUAACGCGGAGGAAGGUGGGGAUGACGUCAAGUCAGCAUGGCCCUUACGUCCUGGGCUACACCCACGCUACAAUGGGUGAUACAAAAGGUUGCAAUAGAGUGAUCUGGAGCUAAUCCUGAAAAUCAUCCCCAGUUCGGAUUGUAGGCUGAAACUGCCUGCAUGAAGUUGGAGUUGCUAGUAACCGCAGGUCAGCACGCUGCGGUGAAUACGUUCUCGGGCCUU